AGAGUUUGAUCCUGGCUCAGAACGAACGCUGGCGGCGUGCCUAACACAUGCAAGUCGGACGGGGUACAUUGUUGUAGCAAUACAGUGGUGUACUUAGUGGCGGACGGGUGAGUAACACGUAGGUAACCUACCCUUAAGAGGGGGGCAACCCGCCGAAAGGCGGGCUAAUACCCCAUAAGACCACGGGCGGAGACGUUUGUGGGAAAAGGAGCAAUCUGCUUAGGGAUGGGCCUGCGGCCUAUCAGGUAGUUGGUGGGGUAACGGCCCACCAAGCCGAAGACGGGUAGCCGGGCUGAGAGGUUGGACGGCCACACUGGAACUGAGACACGGUCCAGACUCCUACGGGAGGCAGCAGUGGGGAAUUUUGCACAAUGGGCGGAAGCCUGAUGCAGCGACGCCGCGUGGAGGAUGAAGGCCUUCGGGUUGUAAACUCCUUUUGUAGGGGACGAUAAUGACGGUACCCUGCGAAUAAGCCACGGCUAACUCUGUGUCAGCAGCCGCGGUAAGACAGAGGUGGCGAGCGUUGUUCGGAAUCACUGGGCUUAAAGGGCGCGUAGGUGGUAGUGCAAGUCUGGGGUGGAAUCCUAUGGCUUAACCAUAGAAUUGCCUUGGAAACUGUAUUACUUGAGUCAGUGAGGGGAGGGUAGAAUUCCUGGUGUAGCGGUGAAAUGCGUAGAUAUCAGGAGGAAGGCCUGUGGCGAAGGCGGCCCUCUGGCGCUGAACUGACACUGAGGCGCGAAAGCGUGGGGAGCAAACAGGAUUAGAUACCCUGGUAGUCCACGCCCUAAACGGUGGGUACU
rnacentral:rRNA from 1 species